AGAGGAUGACAUGUGGGCCCCGCAGCUAAUAGGUGGGCCCCACAACUAACGGUGUUAAAAGGACAUCCAUCCCAACCCUCUCAACCUCCCCAACCAAACAAAAGACUGGCUCCAACUCAUCCCUCUCUAUCCCUCUCAUCCAAACACGAGCUGGGUUCACUCCAACCUACAGAAAGGGGUUAAACCAAACGCAUCCUUAAAGCAUUGCUUGUGGGGGAGGAAAACUCGUCUUGGAACCUGUCGGCGUUGGCGACGGCGAGCUCAUGCUCGAGAACCCGACGAGGUCCAAUUCCUGUAUCUUAACCAGAAUUCCAAUCUUAUAGAGUGAAUCGUGAACUCGAGAUCUAGUGUUGUGACACAGGAUCAGGGGAUGCUUCAGCCUCCACCGGCUGCCAGCCUUGAACGGCCGCGAGCCAGGCGUGAAGAGGCCGGCCGUCGAGAUGGAGAAAGACUGUGGGACGCGCUGGAGUGGGACGGGCUGGCCGCCGGCCACCACCCCGACCUCUUCGAGCCGCCUGUGCACUCGCGCUACUACAGGCGAAGCCGCCUCCUCAGAGGCACCGUCCUCAGGUGAUUCCUGAGCCAGGCAUCCUACUGGUGACAUGAGUCAUGAGAGACCAGUGGCUUGUUCGCCAGCGAUGGAUGCUGGGUGAUUUCAUUCAUGCGCUGGUUUGGUUUGUCUUGUCGGAUGCUGCUUCAGCUCUCAGCUGCUUCCUCUGGCUGAGCUUGUUGUGGGAGGUAAGGGCCUCAGGCUGUUGUUAGUUCCUGCCUGUGCUUUGGAAUAAAAAACGCGGCCUGGUGUUCUGCCUGCGCGCGUGUUGCGCUCAUGCGGUCAGAGAACGGCCGGUGUGUGUGGCUUGCAAUCGGAUCUGAAACAAUGUGCUUCCAGUCGCAGCUGGGUUUGUGUUUGCCUGCCCUCCUGCUGCAUGUGUGUGUGUGUGAUUGGGUGUGUUUGAUUUGUUUGGUUUCAUGAUGAGUGCCUGCUGCGCCGUUUGAUGAUUUGUUUGCGUAGCUAAUAAUAAGCAGCAGCUGCGGCGCCUGCCGUGGCUGCCCUGAGUUUGUUUGC